GCUUAAUCGUAAAUAAUUAACUCACACCAAUCAGCGCCAGGGAACUACGAGCUACGCUUAAAACCCAAAGGACUUGACGGUGCCCCACCCAACUAGAGGAGCCUGUUCUAUAAUCGAUAAUCCCCGCUACACCCCACCACUUUUAGCCUUUCAGCCUGUAUACCUCCGUCGAAAGUCUACCACAUGAGUGCCCCAGUAGACUCAAUAAUCCCCCAUAACCAUGUCAGGUCAAGGUGCAGCCCACAAAGUGGCAAGCAAUGGGCUACAAUUUCUAAAUUAGAACAAACGAAAGCCUGUGUGAAACCUCAGGCACGAAGGCGGAUUUAGCAGUAAAAAGAAAAUAGAGAGUUCUUUUUAACCUGGCUCUGGAGCGCGUACACACCGCCCGUCGCCCUCUUCGACCAUAAUCACCCCGUCCCUAACCC
rnacentral:rRNA from 1 species